rnacentral:sRNA from 1 species
AUGGUGCACCUGCCGAGAGGGGUGAGAAGCCUCGACAGGGUUCGACAAAACGCCCGCGUUUUGGACCGCCAACGGCGGCCCGUAGGGUGAGCGCAGCGAAUCAAGCCCUCUCUCACCGCCA